CAAUCUUUAGUUAUUUUGUUUGGCGAACUGAAAAUACACAGAAAAGAUUAGCAUGGCCCCUGCACUAUGGCAUGACUCUUUUUCCUUAUGGGUCCUUUUGACUGUGUUU
rnacentral:snRNA from 1 species